rnacentral:rRNA from 1 species
AUGCAUGUCUAAGUUCAAGCNAUUAUACCGNGAAACUGCGAAUGGCUCAUUAAAUCAGUUAUNGUUUAUUNGAUAGGACCUUACUACUUGGAUAACCGUGGUAAUUCUAGAGCUAAUACAUGCUGANAACCCCAACUUNGGGAGGGGNGUAUUUAUUANAUAAAAAACCAACGCCCUUNGGGGCUUCUUGGUGAUUNAUGAUAACUUCACGGAUCGCAUGNCCUUGCGCCGGCGACGGUUCAUUCAAAUUUCUGCCCUAUCAACUUUCNAUGGUAAGGUAUUGGCUUNCCAUGGUUUCAACGGGUAACGGGGAAUUAGGGUUCGAUUCCGNAAAGGGAGCCUGAGAANCGGCUACCACAUCCAAGGAAGGCAGNAGGNGCGCAAAUUNCCCNNUCCCGACCCGGGGAGGUAGUGACAAUAAAUACUGAUNCAGGGCUCUUUUGGGUUUUGUAAUUGGAAUGAGUACAAUUUAAACCUNUUAACGAGGAACAAUUGGAGGGCAAGUCUGGUGCCAGCAGCCGCGGUAAUUCCAGCUCCAAUAGCGUAUAUUAAAGCUGUUGCAGUUAAAAAGCUCGUAGUUGGAUCUUGGGCCUAGGCUCGCGGUCCGCCGCAAGGCGUGUUACUGCCCGUCCUGGCCUUUCUCUCGGUUUUCACCCGGUGCUCUUGAUUGAGUGGCGGGGGUGACCGGAACGUUUACUUUGAAAAAAUUAGAGUGUUCAAAGCAGGCCAUACGCCUGAAUAGCAGAGCAUGGAAUAAUGGAAUAGGACCUUGGUUCUAUUGCGUUGGUUUUCGGAACUCGAGGUAAUGAUUAAGAGGGACUGACGGGGGCAUUCGUAUUGCGGUGUGAGAGGUGAAAUUCUUGGAUCGCCGCAAGACGACCGACUGCGAAAGCAUUUGCCAAGAAUGUUUUCAUUAAUCAAGAACGAAAGUUAGAGGUUCGAAGGCGAUCAGAUACCGCCCUAGUUCUAACCAUAAACGAUGCCGACUGGCGAUCCGCCGGCGUUACUCCAAUGACGCGGCGGGCAGUCUACGGGAAACCAAAGUCUUUGGGUUCCGGGGGAAGUAUGGUUGCAAAGCUGAAACUUAAAGGAAUUGACGGAAGGGCACCACCAGGCGUGGAGCCUGCGNCUUAAUUUGANNCAACAG